UUAAGAUUAGUUGGUAAGAAGUUCUUAAUUUCUUGUAGAGGUGGAAUUUGAAUAAGAAAAUUUAGGUUAUUAGCUUCUUUAAAUUUGAGGCCUUGAAAAUUUAGUUAAAAACCGGGAUUAGAUACCCCGUUAUUUAUUUUGUAAACUUUGAUGAUUUAUAAUUUACUUGAGUAUUACGAGUAGCUAGCAAUGAAUGUGAUUGGUUAGUGUGGACUUAAAACUCAAAAAACUUGGCGGUGCCUUAAUUCUUUUCAGGGGAACUUGUCCCGUAAUCGAUGGUCCUCGAGUUAACUUACUUUCUUUUGUAUUUUACGUUUUGGUUUAACAGUUUGUAUACCGUCGUCGUCAGAUUACCUUUAAGAGAGAUAAAAGUUGUCGGAAAAAAUAGAUAUGAGGAAUAUUAGAUUGUUGUGAAUGAUAAGUUAGUUGGGUGCAUGUUUAUUUUUAAUGUCAGAUCAAGGUGCAGCUUAUAAGAAAGUGGAGAUGAGUUACAAUAAUUAUUUAUUAUACGGAUUUUAAGUUGUAAGGCUUAAUUAAAGGUGGACUUGAGAGUAAUAUUAAUGAUGGAAAUAAAAGCCUUAAUUAGUAUGUAAAUGUGAAUAUGGUGCUAAGGUGCGU
rnacentral:rRNA from 1 species